AUUGAACGCUGGCGGCAGGCUUAACACAUGCAAGUCGAGCGGAGUGAUGGUGCUUGCACUAUCACUUAGCGGCGGACGGGUGAGUAAUGCUUAGGAAUCUGCCAUUUAGUGGGGGACAACAUUCCGAAAGGAAUGCUAAUACCGCAUACGUCCUACGGGAGAAAGCAGGGGAUCUUCGGACCUUGCGCUAAAUGAUGAGCCUAAGUCGGAUUAGCUAGUUGGUGGGGUAAAGGCCUACCAAGGCGACGAUCUGUAGUGGGUCUGAGAGGAUGAUCCGCCACACUGGGACUGAGACACGGCCCAGACUCCUACGGGAGGCAGCAGUGGGGAAUAUUGGACAAUGGGCGGAAGCCUGAUCCAGCCAUGCCGCGUGUGUGAAGAAGGCCUUUUGGUUGUAAAGCACUUUAAGCGAGGAGGAGGCUACUAGUACUAAUACUACUGGAUAGUGGACGUUACUCGCAGAAUAAGCACCGGCUAACUCUGUGCCAGCAGCCGCCGUAAUAC
rnacentral:rRNA from 1 species